rnacentral:rRNA from 1 species
GACGAACGCUGGCGGCGCGCCUAACACAUGCAAGUCGAACGAGAGAGAAGGAGCUUGCUUCUUUGAUCGAGUGGCGAACGGGUGAGUAACGCGUGAGGAACCUGCCUCAAAGAGGGGGACAACAGUUGGAAACGACUGCUAAUACCGCAUAAGCCCACAGGUCGGCAUCGACCAGAGGGAAAAGGAGCAAUCCGCUUUGAGAUGGCCUCGCGUCCGAUUAGCUAGUUGGUGAGGUAAUGGCCCACCAAGGCGACGAUCGGUAGCCGGACUGAGAGGUUGAACGGCCACAUUGGGACUGAGACACGGCCCAGACUCCUACGGGAGGCAGCAGAGGGGAAUAUUGCACAAUGGGGGAAACCCUGAUGCAGCGACGCCGCGUGGAGGAAGAAGGUCUUCGGAUUGUAAACUCCUGU